rnacentral:rRNA from 1 species
GUGGGGAAUCUUGCGCAAUGGGCGAAAGCCUGACGCAGCCAUGCCGCGUGAAUGAUGAAGGUCUUAGGAUUGUAAAAUUCUUUCACCGGGGACGAUAAUGACGGUACCCGGAGAAGAAGCCCCGGCUAACUUCGUGCCAGCAGCCGCGGUAAUACGAAGGGGGCUAGCGUUGCUCGGAAUUACUGGGCGUAAAGGGAGCGUAGGCGGACAUUUAAGUUAGGGGUGAAAUCCCGAGGCUCAACCUCGGAACUGCCUUUGAUACUGGGUGUCUUGAGUGUGAGAGAGGUGAGUGGAACGCCGAGUGUAGAGGUGAAAUUCGUAGAUAUUCGGAAGAACACCAGUGGCGAAGGCGACUCACUGGCCCAAUACUGACGCUGAGGCGCGAAAGCGUGGGGAGCAAACAGGAUUAGAUACCCGAGUAGUCC